rnacentral:misc_RNA from 1 species
AUGAUUGUGAAUCAGUUACCUUCAGUGCUGGCUUUUAUGAGCAAGUGCACGCUGGUGGCUUUCAUCCAAUACCACCCUUGUGAACCUUUGGCCUCUUGCUAGCUUUGGUUGGCAGAGGAUUUUUACACACACUCGAGAAUGUAAUAAAACUAGUAUUGUGCACAAGCACUAAUGUA